rnacentral:lncRNA from 1 species
CUAGCUUUAUGAUUUCGUCGAGCAUCAACGCCUUGCCAAUCAAAAUAAGAAGUACACAUGUCAUUUUUUCUGCCAAAAUUGAUGGGAGUUGGCAACUUGAGAUGAGUGAAAAAUAAGGGAGUUUAUCACAUAGUAGUACGCAAGUGUGACCCAUAUUAGCAUGUGUAGGUCCUGUGAAAGUGAGUACGUACAAAAGGGGAAACAAUUUAGGAAACCCGUGGCAUCUUAACUGAGAAGACGAAUCAGGAAAAUCAUUUA